GACGAACGCUGGCGGCGUGCUUAACACAUGCAAGUCGAACGAAGUGGCGAACGGGUGAGUAACGCGUAAUCAACCUGCCCUUCAGAGGGGGCCAACAGUUGGAAACGACUGCUAAUACCGCAUACUGAGGGCGGGGAUUGAUUCUGAUUAGCUAGUUGGGGGGGUACCGGCCCACCAAGGCGAUGAUCAGUAGCCGGUCUUGGAUGAUGAACGGCCACAUGUGGAAUGAGACACGGCCCAGACUCCUACGGGAGGCAGCAGUGGGGAAUCUUCCGCAAUGGAGGAAAGUCUGACGGAGCAACGCCGCGUGAGUGAUGACGGCCUUCGGGUUGUAAAGCUCUGUUAAUCGGGACGCGGUACCGGAAUAGAAAGCCACGGCUAACUACGUGCCAGCCGCCGCGGUAAUUC
rnacentral:rRNA from 1 species